UUGGAACUGGUCUGUGAUGGGGAUGCUCCUGUUGGACCCGAACCUCCAUGCUGCCUUUGUGGACAGGACCUGUCCUGUUACUACCCAUCACUGUAUCUGCUCCAGAAAUGAAAUAUAGCUGACUUCGUCCUCCAGAGUGUUCUAUGAUCAGCAAGCACAGCUCUGUUGUUCCCAGAGAAGCUGAUACCUGAGACAGAAGAUCAUGGAGUGGGCUUUGUCUGUUUUUUGAGAUAGAAUCACACCGCGUGGCCAAGAUUGAAUACAAACCCCUGACCCCUCUGCCUCAGUACCCCAAAUAUGGCAGUUAGAGGCAUUUGUUAUUGUUCCUGACUUGGGUUUUCUUUGUGGAGGGCUGCAUAAAGACACCUAAAUAUGUGGAUGAACAAUGAAAUUGAGUGGAAAAUAUAGGCUCUGAUGGUCAAAAACGACCCUGUCAUCUUGUCUUUGGAGCUGGGCUCUGGCUGAGCACUCUGUCCUUCUUCAGCUAAUGAGCAGACAGCUACACUUGUACUCAUUUCCAGCCUUGCUCCAG
rnacentral:lncRNA from 1 species